UACCUGGUUGAUCCUGCCAGUAGUCAUAUGCUUGUCUCAAAGAUUAAGCCAUGCAAGUCUAAGUACGAGCUCUCGUACAGUGAAACUGCGAAUGGCUCAUUAAAUCAGGUAUGGUUCAUUUGAUCGCACAGUUUACUUGGAUAACUGUGGGAAUUCUAGAGCUAAUAC
rnacentral:ncRNA from 1 species